rnacentral:lncRNA from 10 species
CCCACCCCUCAUUCCAGCUGUAAGAAAAGGGAGUCUUUGUCCUAGGGGAACAAGCACAGGCAUACUUAUGCAGUGAGCACAUGGCCCAAGUUGCGGAAAGGCCCUUGGAUGAAUGCUGGUUUCACCAACAAUCUGUGGGUUGGGUUUGGCCUGGACCCUUGGACCCCAGCAGUCCAGUACCCCCCUGCAUGGGACAGGACUGGGAGGUGGGUGGGAGGGCUGAGCUUUGAUGGAAGCCAUUAUUUGGCUUCCUGUCAAGUGGUACAGGUGGUUGUUGGUGGCUCAGUUUUGAAAGACCUGGGUGAUCACCCAAGGAGUGAAAAUUGCCUUUUUAUGAGAAAUUACCAAAAUUCAUGCAAGCUCAUCUGUUGAAAAGGCUUUAUAGUAUCUUCAGCUACACAGGAUUUCCUGAAGCUAAAGGCUUUUGUUUCACUUGCAAACUGCAAGCCAGGAGAGGCUUCCUGCCUUUCUCACAAUGGCCACCCAUCAAGAACUAUGAGGAGUCUGGGAGUAUAUCCUGUUUGUAAGUUAAUAAAAUAGCUUGCUGCAAUUCUAUGGAUGCUGGCAGAAGACACAGAACUUUUAGGUCGAAGAAUAGAGGAACUUGCUUCCAGCAAAGUCGUUGCCAGAACAUCAACCUUUUUUUAUCAGUAUCACAAAGGGGUGCUGCGGAUGAACUUGGAUAGGAACCUACACCUGCCGUGGGCUGCAUUACAAGAGGGAUACACAGAACUUGGGAAAACUCUACCACUUUGUAACCCCCAAUAAGCAGAGCCUGCUCUUGUCCUGGAGGAAUAUGUCACCUCCUCCUUCAAGGUUGAACAGGGAGUAGAACAACAACCAUGAGAAAUGCUCCGGGUAAAGGGUGGUCGGAGCCUGUCAUUCUUUCUUAUCACACCCAUAAGAUAUGGAGGACAAGAGACCCAUGGAGAAGAGUCUCCUCCACUGCUGUUCAAUUCUCCCCAGACAUCAUCUUGAGGGUGCUUCUUCAGUUCUCUCAACCUGUCCCCAGUCUCCCUUGUAGGUACCAGGAAAAUUUUGUGAAGACUCAGUGAAAGCUGCAAAUUUCUCUUAUGGCCAUGUCUCCCAGACAUCCUAUAACUUCACCCUAGUCCACUGUCAAGCCCUUUGAUACUUUAUUUGCAUGUGUCUUAUCCAUUUGGGUGUUUUCCAUGUCUGUUCAUGGCAAGAUGUGCACACAUCCUAUCUCACCUUAGAAACACCUGCCUUUCCUUGUAUUCCAGGCUGAUUCUUUUCACUAUGUAUUAGUCAGGGUUCUCCAGAGGUACAGAACUAAUAGAAUCUAUGUCUAUAUGAAAGGGAGUUUAUUAGGGAGAAUUGGCUCACACCAUCACAAGGCAAUGUCCCACUGUAGGCCGUUUGCACGCUGGGGAAGACAGAAGCUGAUAGUAGUUGAGUCAGACUCCAACAACCUCAAAGGCAGGGAGGCAGACAGUACAGCUUUCAGUCUGUGGCCAAAGGCCCAAGAGCCCUCAGCAAAUCACUGCUGUAAGUCCAAGAGUCCAAAAGCUGGCUGGGCAUGGUGGCUCAUGCCUGUUAUCCCAGCACUUUGGGAGGCCAAGGCAGGUGGAUUGCUUUCAGUCAGGAGUUCAAGAGUAGCUUGGCCAACAUGGUGAAACACUGUCCCUACUAAAAAUACAAAAAUUCACUAGGCAUUGUGGUGAGUGCUUGUAUUCCUAGUUAUUUAAAAGGCUAAGGCAGGAGAAUCACUUGAACCCGGGAGACAAAGGUUGUAGUGAGCCAAGAUCAUGCCACUGGACUCCAGCCUGGAUGAUAAAGUGAGAUCUUGUCUCAAAUAAUAAAAAUACUACUACUAAUAUUGAAUAAUAAUAAAAUAAAUAAGAGCCCCAAAGCCAAAGAACCUGGAGUCUCAGGUCCAAGAUCAGAAGUAAGAGAAUGAAGCAUCCAGCAUGGGAGACAGACGAAAGCCUGAAGACCCAGCAAGCCAGCUUCUCCCACCUUCUUCCACUUGCAUUGUUCUAGCUGUACUGGCAGCCAGUUAGAUGAUGCCCAUCCACAUUGAGGGUGGGUCUUCCUCUCUCAGCCCCCUAACUCAGUGUCAAUAUCCUCUGGUGAAAACCUCACAGACACACCCAGAAACAAUAAUUUACCAGCUACCAAGGCAUCCCUCAGUCCAAUCAAGUUGACACCUAAUAUUAACCAUCACUCCCUGCAACUGUGGUUUUCUAACAGAUUCAGGAAAAUUUGAAUUCAUUUCUGAUAUGUCCUUCAUUUUGCCUUUAUUGCAGGAGCAAUGAUCUUCUUGACAGCUGUCUACAUCCUAAGUGUAAGCUAGAAGGCUAAACUUUUUAUUUCAUAAAGAAGAAGGGCUUCAAGUUAAUCUGCUUAAAACCCUGAGUUUAAAUUGCUGGCAUUCAGUAGAAUGUUCAAAUGCAUUUUAAGGACAAAUGCGUGUCCUUAAAAGAAUUAGUCUGAGUGAAGUUGUAGUUUCUCUCCAUAAAUUUUCAAAUGUCGGGAAUAUUUAUUAACAUGGAGAAGGGAAUAGAAAUCAAGGGGUAGGUGACUUUAGAUCUAGCACCAAAGGUGGGAGAACAACUUCUAGAAAAAACUGAAAGUAAUCUACUUUAGUCUGUGAAGGGCUACACAGUGUGCAGUCUUUACCGCACAGUGGGCACUAGAUCUAGCUUCAACGAAUGAACGAAGUACUCAAUUAAUAGUCUAAUGCCUGUACUGAUAUGUGUGGAAGAAAAAUCCAGCCAAUAUGAAUUACAGUGUUGUCUAUAACCAUUUCACUGAAUGGGAAACUAAGUGAAUGCUCCAGAAAUAUUCCUGGUUAUGUAUUUUUCCUAGUUCUAGCGUGGUCAUAUUAGCAUUUCAAAUUCAUCUCUGAUGGGUGAAAAUCUAAUUCUUUUCCCCCAUUUUUGUGGUGGUAUUCAAUUUUUUAAGUGUGCAGAAAUUAAAAAUAAUGUUUAAUUCACUGAAGGGUCCAUUAACAUAACUAGGUGAAAUACAAUUCUUUUCAGUUUGGUUCAACUCCCUUUGUCACACCCAGGUAAAUAUUUCUUCCCAAAAGUUUUACUUGCUCUCCCCCUUAGCAUCUUUUUUGGAGAAUGCUCCUUUUCUGCAAUCAAUGCCCAUCACCAAAUACCUGUCUGGAAAGACUUCAUUUAGGUAUUUAUAUUUUCAUGGCACCAGAAUAUUGAAAAAAAUACACGAUUGAAGCACUUGCAUGAUCUGAGCAAAUACCAUGAAAAAGUUGUGGUUUCAGCACCUCAAGUAUGAAUGCUUGUUAUGGAUAAUUGACCAUCUUCAGGCGUUUGCAACUGCAGCUGUAGUUAAAACAAAACAAAGCAAAGCCAUUGAGGGGGUCACAUGGAGAUGCCAGAUUUUUAUGGAAAAUUUCCCUUCUUAGCAAGUCAAAUAAACAUCGCCACCUGCUGGCCGUUGUCUCAUAUGGCAUUCCCAAUGGAGAAGGCAGGGAGAGUUUUUGCCAGUGCAUGUUGAAGGUAAGACCAGAGCAAAACUGAAGGAAAUAGAGACACGAAAAACCCUUCAAAAAUUCAGUGAAUCCAGGAGCUGGCUUUUUGAAAAGAUCCACAAAAUUGAUAGACCUCUAGCAAGACUAAUAAAGAAGAAAAGAGAGAAGAAUCAAACAGACCCAAUAAAAAAUGACAAAGGGGAUAUCACCACUGAUCCCACAGAAAUA